rnacentral:rRNA from 1 species
GGACUACUAGGGUUUCUAAUCCCGUUCGCUCCCCUAGCUUUCGCACCUCAGCGUCAGUCGCUCGCCAGGACACUGCCUUCGCCUUCGGUGUUCCUCCGGAUCUCUACGCAUUUCACCACUCCACCCGGAAUUCCGUGUCCCUCUCGAGCUCUCAAGUCAUACCGUCUUUCGCAUACUCGGGUAGUUAAGCCACCCGCUGUCACACAAAACGCGUACGACCGCCUGCAUGCCCUUUACGCCCAGUAACUCCGGACAACGCUCGCCCCCUACGUAUUACCGCGGCGGCUGGCAC